GUGGCGGGCAAACAAAUCACUCAUUCCCCCCCAAAUCGAUCCACCAGCCCUACCCCAACCCAAGAUGCCGCCAAAUUGAUUCGACUCAGCCACAGCCGCUCGCUCGCCACCACGAUCUGCAGCGUUUGGAGUCAUCUCACAGAUCCUCAACUGCUUGCUCGAUGCACCACGUCCACUGCACCAGGGCUGAGAGAGGGGAUGUCGAGAUUAUGAGAGGGCAGUGCUGAUAUGGUGGCCUGAGUGGGUCUCGGUUUGACUCUGUGGUUAAUUGUUUUUUGGGGCAGAUUGAUUCAACCCGACCAGAGGCUCGCUCGCCGCCACGACUUGCAGCCUUCGGAGUCAACUUACCUCCUCAGCCGCUCGCGCGCCGCACCUCGUCCGCUGCACCAGGUAGAUAAUCUUCGGAAGCAUGUUCAUGCGUCUAGACUUAUCAAAAAUAUCGAAUUGGUGGUCGUUUCACCUUUGCUCAGGACUAUGCAAACAGCAGUUGGUGCUUUUGGAGGUGAAGCUACUGCUGUUGGGAUUGAUGUGCCUCCACUGAUGGCAGAAAAUAUGGGCAACAGUAAUCGUCCUGCAAUUUCAAGCCUAAAUUGUCCUCCCUUCAUUGCUGUGGAGCUUUGUCGAGAGGAUAUGGGCAUUCAUCCUUGUGAUCGGAGGAGAAGUAUAAGUGAAUACAAAUCCAUGUUCCCAGCAAUUGAUUUUUCUUUGAAUAUGAAGAGAGGCCAGAAACUACCAUCUUCCGACAAGUUAAGUUGCGGCAGGUGCUUUUCGAUACAUAACAGGUCCGUGAAUCAAAUUGUAGUUUAGCUCAUACAAGGUCAAACUACAAAUGUUUGUCAUCCCCGCCACAACACGCGAGUUGAAAGCACUAGUUACUACUGUUUUAAUAUGGUGAUAUAAACAAACUGCUAUGUAAUUUUUGGUUGUUUAAAUGUGAAUUACUGUUUAAUUCUUUGUAUACUUAUACUUGUGAA